rnacentral:rRNA from 1 species
GACGUAGGGCGCGAGCGUUGUCCGGAUUUAUUGGGCGUAAAGAGCUCGUAGGCGGUUUGUCGCGUCUGCCGUGAAAGUCCGGGGCUCAACUCCGGAUCUGCGGUGGAUACGGGCAGACUAGAGGUAGGUAGGGGAGAAUGGAAUUCCCGGUGUAGCGGUGAAAUGCGCAGAUAUCGGGAGGAACACCGGUGGCGAAGGCGGUUCUCUGGGCCUUACCUGACGCUGAGGAGCGAAAGCGUGGGGAGCGAACAGG